AUCAUAUUCUGUUUCACUUGGUUUUUUAUUCUUGUCACUUGGACUUGGAUAAGGGUAGGUAUCUGGGGAUUGGACUCUCAUAUUUUCCAAUGUUUUUGUAGAUUUUCCCACUCAUAUAAAAUCCUAAAUUUUAUGAACUAAUGUCUGAAUAUACUUAUCUGACAUGGAUAGUUGGAUACUUUAUGGUAAAUUGAAGAGUUGAAGUAA
rnacentral:misc_RNA from 1 species